rnacentral:lncRNA from 1 species
GUGUGACUUUUUCAGAAGGUGAGUUACGCGUUCCGGGCAGUCAGUGCACUGCUCAGCAGGAGGAGGUCCUGCAGGUGGUGCUGCAAGGGGUCGGCUGGCCGCAGGGGGGCCGGCAGCAGGGGGACUGCACAGACACAGGCUGGCAGCAGGUGGUGCUGCAAGGGGUCGGCUGGCCGCAGGGGGACUGCACAGACACAGGCUGGCAGCAGGUGGUGGCUCAGCAGGAGGAGGUCCUGCAGGUGGUGCUGCAAGGGGUCGGCUGGCCGCAGGGAGGCCGGCAGCAGGGGGACUGCACAGACACAGGCUGGCAGCAGGGGGGCCGGCAGCAGGGGGACUGCACAGACACAGGCUGGCAGCAGGUGGUGGCCCAGCAGCAGGGCCUGCACACC